rnacentral:rRNA from 1 species
GAUGAACGCUGGCGGCGUGCCUAAUACAUGCAAGUCGAGCGAACGGACGAGAAGCUUGCUUCUCUGAUGUUAGCGGCGGACGGGUGAGUAACACGUGGAUAACCUACCUAUAAGACUGGGAUAACUUCGGGAAACCGUAGCUAAUACCGGAUAAUAUUUUGAACCGCAUGGUUCAAAAGUGAAAGACGGUCUUGCUGUCACUUAUAGAUGGAUCCGCGCUGCAUUAGCUAGUUGGUAAGGUAACGGCUUACUAAGGCAACGAUGCAUAGCCGACCUGAGAGGGUGAUCGGCCACACUGGAACUGAGACACGGUCCAGACUCCUACGGGAGGCAGCAGUAGGGAAUCUUCCGCAAUGGGCGAAAGCCUGACGGAGCAACGCCGCGUGAGUGAUGAAGGUCUUCGGAUCGUAAAACUCUGUUAUUAGGGAAGAACAUAUGUGUAAGUAACUGUGCACAUCUUGACGGUACCUAAUCAGAAAGCCACGGCUAACUACGUG